rnacentral:rRNA from 1 species
GACGAACGCUGGCGGCGUGCUUAACACAUGCAAGUCGAACGGAAAGGCCCAGCUUGCUGGGUGCUCGAGUGGCGAACGGGUGAGUAACACGUGGGUGAUCUGCCCCUAACUUCGGGAUAAGCUUGGGAAACUGGGUCUAAUACCGGAUAGGACAAUCGUUUAGUGUCGGUUGUGGAAAGUUUUUUCGGUUAGGGAUGAGCCCGCGGCCUAUCAGCUUGUUGGUGGGGUAAUGGCCUACCAAGGCGUCGACGGGUAGCCGGCCUGAGAGGGUGGACGGCCACGUCGGGACUGGAAUGCGGCCCGGACUCCUACGGGAGGGAGCAGUGGGGAAUGUUGCACAAUAGACUCAAGCCAAGUGCGGUGACGCAGUGUGGGGUAUGACGGCCUUCGGGUUGUAUACCUCUGUCGACAGAGACGAAGCGAUGAUGACGGUACCUGGAGAAGAAGCUCCGGCUAACUACGUG